GGAAUGGCCAUUAUUUCCAAAAUAGUAUAUAGAAUUGAAGGGACCAAAGUGUACAGUUCCUUUGGCAAGAGAGGAAGAAAGAAGACAGGGAUCGAGUAAUAAGAAGAGCAACAAACAAUGACGGCUGCUAAGGGAAGCCAUUGAGAAGCAGGAAUGAGUAAUGGAAAAGAGAAGAUGGGCUAUGUAGUAGCAGAGUAAUUAGUUUGUAAU
rnacentral:misc_RNA from 1 species